rnacentral:lncRNA from 1 species
UCGGCAUGUUCACAGAGAAAGUGUCUAU